CGACCUGUUAACAUCUUGGUAUUCAAAUCAAAGGUCAAAGGAGCUUUCAGGUACAGACAGUCUCAUUCACCGCACAGCACCAACCCACAACAACCAGGAGCAAUGUGGAGAAAAUAUCAGCUCCGUCGAUGCACUGCGGAAAGUUUCUUCUUGAUUGCCAAAUCCACCCUCUGCAGACUCUACUGUGAUGUCAUCACAAGCUACAUCCAUGGCUCCUAGCAGAGUCAUUUGGGUAUGCAGAUGAUGGUCAUAUUCCCUCCACUGCUGUUCUAAUCUACUAUAUACAUUUUCAGAUUCUCAUCAGGCUCAUCUCUUUCAUUCUCAGGGAUCGUGUCCCUAUAAAGAGCAUCCAAAAAAGUCAAAAGGGGUAAUGUAUUGUAUGGACCAAGACGGGCAAUAUGGGUGUGCACAUUGUCUUCUGAAUGCUGCAAACAUUCUAAUAUUCACUCCUUGUUGACCUAGGACAUCAGUGAGGUGGAAGACAUGCAUUUCUUCCAUGGUGUCUGUCUUUUUCCAUCUUAAAAUAUUUUUUAUAAAGAAUGUGUAAAAUGUUUGACAACAUGUUCAACAAUUUUGUGUGACGCAAGCAAUGAAAUGAAGAAUAGUAGUUGUAUAAACAAUGACUAUUCAGCUUGUACAAGCAGAGACAACAAAAGCAAGCUAAUAACGAUCAGUGGUAGGGCGGUCGACCUCCGUUCGGAAUAUUCCGGGUUUGAUUCCCGCCU